CUUAACACAUGCAAGUCGAGGGGCAGCAUGGUCUUAGCUUGCUAAGGCCGAUGGCGACCGGCGCACGGGUGAGUAACACGUAUCCAACCUGCCGUCUACUCUUGGACAGCCUUCUGAAAGGAAGAUUAAUACAAGAUGGCAUCAUGAGUCCACAUGUUCACAUGAUUAAAGGUAUUCCGGUAGACGAUGGGGAUGCGUUCCAUUAGAUAGUAGGCGGGGUAACGGCCCACCUAGUCUUCGAUGGAUAGGGGUUCUGAGAGGAAGGUCCCCCACAUUGGAACUGAGACACGGUCCAAACUCCUACGGGAGGCAGCAGUGAGGAAUAUUGGUCAAUGGGCGAGAGCCUGAACCAGCCAAGUAGCGUGAAGGAUGACUGCCCUAUGGGUUGUAAACUUCUUUUAUAAAGGAAUAAAGUCGGGUAUGCAUACCCGUUUGCAUGUACUUUAUGAAUAAGGAUCGGCUAACUCCGUGCCAGCAGCCGCGGUAAUACGGAGGAUCCGAGCGUUAUCCGGAUUUAUUGGGUUUAAAGGGAGCGUAGAUGGAUGUUUAAGUCAGUUGUGAAAGUUUGCGGCUCAACCGUAAAAUUGCAGUUGAUACUGGAUAUCUUGAGUGCAGUUGAGGCAGGCGGAAUUCGUGGUGUAGCGGUGAAAUGCUUAGAUAUCACGAAGAACUCCGAUUGCGAAGGCAGCCUGCUAAGCCGCAACUGACAUUGAGGCUCGAAAGUGUGGGUAUCAAACAGGAUUAGAUACCCUGGUAGUCCACACGGUAAACGAUGAAUACUCGCUGUUUGCGAUAUACAGCAAGCGGCCAAGCGAAAGCGUUAAGUAUUCCACCUGGGGAGUACGCCGGCAACGGUGAAACUCAAAGGAAUUGACGGGGGCCCGCACAAGCGGAGGAACAUGUGGUUUAAUUCGAUGAUACGCGAGGAACCUUACCCGGGCUUAAAUUGCAGAUGAAUUACGGUGAAAGCCGUAAGCCGCAAGGCAUCUGUGAAGGUGCUGCAUGGUUGUCGUCAGCUCGUGCCGUGAGGUGUCGGCUUAAGUGCCAUAACGAGCGCAACCCUUGUUGUCAGUUACUAACAGGUUCUGCUGAGGACUCUGACAAGACUGCCAUCGUAAGAUGUGAGGAAGGUGGGGAUGACGUCAAAUCAGCACGGCCCUUACGUCCGGGGCUACACACGUGUUACAAUGGGGGGUACAGAGGGCCGCUACCACGCGAGUGGAUGCCAAUCCCAAAAACCUCUCUCAGUUCGGACUGGAGUCUGCAACCCGACUCCACGAAGCUGGAUUCGCUAGUAAUCGCGCAUCAGCCACGGCGCGGUGAAUACGUUCCCGGGCCUUGUACACACCGCCCGUCAAGCCAUGGGAGCCGGGGGUACCUGAAGUGCGUAACCGCGAGGAGCGCCCUAGGGUAAAACUGGUGACUGGGGCUAAGA
rnacentral:rRNA from 1 species